GCGGCCAUGGUACAGUGGUAGCACGUGAGCUUCCCAAGCUCGAGACCCGGGUUCGAUUCCCGGUGGCCGCA
rnacentral:tRNA from 1 species